GUGAAUCAUCAAAUCUUUGAACGCAAAUUGCACUCUCUGGUAUUCCGGGGAGUAUGCCUGUUUGAGGGUCAGUUUAAAUAAAAAUCGGUGUUGGUGCUGGCUUGUGUGGUGACGCACCGGGUUUGGGUCGUCUUUCCUUCAGUUGAGUGACCUAAAAUUUUUCAUGAUGUUUCGCGAACGUAGUGAAAUGAUUUUACAUACGUUUGCG
rnacentral:misc_RNA from 1 species